ACUUUAGCCCUUUGCUUUUAACAAGGUACGUUCCAACCUUCAUACCAACAUACUACUUGCUAGUGUGCAUUCCCAAAUACGUUGCUUCACUCCCAAGUAGUAGCAAUACAUAGGCUGUGUUCCGAUAUCCACGCUGGCAUACCACUUAGAAUUCAUGCCCAAUAUAUGACUUACCUACUUACCCAAUCCUCUUUGUGUCUGGAGUAACGUAAGGCUUCUAAGAGAGGGCACCAGUGCCUCCGGUCUGCAGUGUUCAUGUCAUGUCUGGAGUAACGUAAGGCUUCUAGGAGAGGGCACCAGUGCCUCCGGUCUGCAGCGUUCAUGUCUGGAGUAACGUAAGGCUUCUAGGAAGAGGGCACCAGUGCCUCCGGUCUGCAGCGUUCAUGUCUGGAG
rnacentral:lncRNA from 1 species